rnacentral:lncRNA from 1 species
CGGCCGCCAUGGCCAAGGCCAGCGUGGAGCUCACCCGCGAGCUGCAAGACAGCAUCCGGAGGUGCCUGAGCCAGGGGGCUGUGCUCCAGCAGCAUCGAGUGAAACUAGAGACAAAACCCAAGAAGUUCGAGGACCGAGUACUGGCCCUGACUUCCUGGCGCCUCCACCUCUUCCCCCUUAAAGUCCCAGCCAAGGUAGAAAGCUCAUUCAAUGUCCUGGAGAUCCGUGCCUUCAACACACUCAGUCAGAACCAGAUCCUGGUGGAGACUGAGCGUGGUGUGGUGAGCAUGCGGCUGCCGUCAGCUGAGAGUGUGGACCAGGUGACCCGGCAUGUGAGCUCUGCCCUCUCCAAGGUCUGCCCUGGCCCUGGGUGAGUGGCAGACAAGGGGUCUCCCAAAGGAUUAGACUAAAGGUAGAUUUCUCCUUCCUGUUGAUCUGGUCUCCUGGAACAAGAAUGCUCUCUCUGCUCUUCCCUGGAGGCUCACACACCAUAAUACAGGAAGAACUGAGAGCCUCUUUCCACCUCUCUCUGGGACGCCUUAUUCAUAUUCCAGGUGUUUGAUCCGGCGUGGAAAUGCAGACACCCCGGAGGGUCCCCGAGACACAUCUCCCAACUCUGAAACAAGUACCCUCUGACCUGGGCCGUCGAACAGCUCCCCUGAAACCCAAGAGAACUCGGCGAGCACAGUCCUGUGACAAACUGGAACCUGAUAGAAGACGGCCACCUGACCCUGCAGGUGUCUGUGCAGGAACCAGUGAACCAGGAACAGACUGACAGCUGCUGAACGCCCUCCCCAGCCUUCCUCGACAUGUGCCUCAUAAGGACUCAGGCCCCACCCACCCCUGCUCGCCCAUCCCUUGCCAGCCCUUGUCCUACAGGGCAGCACCACUAAGAAGGCAUGGGGGAGCAGGAGUGGGGACUGGAAGGGAGGGAGUGACCUGAAGCAGGGAAGCUGUCACACCUGCCUGGAGCUUCCUCCACAGAGAGCUUUGGGCAGAGGCUGUCUCUUCCCUGGGGGGAGGGUGAACCUCCGCCCCUUUAUGCCCAGGGGCUCUCUCCCCACUUGUAUAGAAUUAAAAAGAAAAUCACUGUC